AGAGUUUGAUCCUGGCUCAGAAUCAACGCUGGCGGCGCGCUUAACACAUGCAAGUCGCACGAGAAAGUGGGAAACCAUGAGUACAGUGGCGUACGGGUGAGUAACACGUGGGUAAUCUACCUCUGAGUGGGGAAUAACCCUGGGAAACCGGGGCUAAUACCGCAUAAUCUCGAGAGAGGAGAGCAGCAAUGCGCUGAGAGAGGAGCCCGCGGCCGAUUAGCUAGUUGGUAGGGUAAGAGCCUACCAAGGCAGAGAUCGGUAGCCGGCCUGAGAGGGCACACGGCCACACUGGCACUGAAACACGGGCCAGACUCCUACGGGAGGCAGCAGUGGGGAAUCUUGCACAAUGGGGGAAACCCUGAUGCAGCGACGCCGCGUGAGCGAUGAAGCCCUUCGGGGUGUAAAGCUCUUUCGUCAGGGAAGAUGAUGACGGUACCUGGAGAAGCAGCUGCGGCUAACUACGUGCCAGCAGCCGCGGUAAUACGUAGGCAGCGAGCGUUGUUCGGAGUUACUGGGCGUAAAGGGUGUGUAGGCGGUUCUUUAAGUUUGGUGUGAAAUCUCCCGGCUCAACCGGGAGGGUGCGCCGAAUACUGAGGGACUUGGAGUGCGGGAGAGGAAAGUGGAAUUCCUGGUGUAGCGGUGAAAUGCGUAGAUAUCAGGAGGAACACCGGUGGUGUAGACGGCUUUCUGGACCGUAACUGACGCUGAGACACGAAAGCGUGGGUAGCAAACAGGAUUAGAUACCCUGGUAGUCCACGCCCUAAACGAUGCAUAUUUGGUGUGGGUCAUUCAGUUGAUCCGUGCCGGAGCUAACGCGUUAAAUAUGCCGCCUGGGGAGUACAGUCGCAAGGCUGAACUCAAAGGAAUUGACGGGGCCCGCACAAGCGGUGGAGCAUGUGGUUCAAUUCGACGCACGCGA
rnacentral:rRNA from 1 species